rnacentral:lncRNA from 1 species
UCAGAAUAGAAAAGCUGUAGAGAUCCUUUUUUUCUCUGUCUCUCCUGCACAUUGACUUCCUUCUGAGCAGAUAAACCUCUGUUAGUGGUUCAUAGGCUACACGAUGGGAGGAAGAUGUCCACAACAACAAAGGGUUAUUUUUCUCUCCUGUUCCAUCUCUGUUUCAGGCCAGUGAGGGGUCUACUCCACAUUGUCCUCAUGCAGGGCCCUGGGCUGCUGGAGUCUCCACCAUGUGGCAUGAGAGAGGAAGGGAGCACGGUAUAUAAGAAUUGGCUCUUAAAGCUUCCACGUAGAUAGAGUGAUAUUUUUACAGCACUGGAAGCAAAAUGCGAGUCAAAAUUUACAGCGAAGUUGUGAAACAGGAGAUAAACCUGUACGGAAUGGAAGACACUGAGGCUUAGGGAGGUUAAAUGAUUUGCUGAGGAUCACAUCACUGAAAAGUAGCUGAGCUGAGAUUUGAA